rnacentral:rRNA from 1 species
GACGAACGCUGGCGGCGUGCUUAACACAUGCAAGUCGAACGGAAAGGCCCUACUUUUGUGGGGUGCUCGAGUGACGAACGGGUGAGUAACACGUGAGUAACCUGCCCUUGACUUUGGGAUAACUUCAGGAAACUGGGGCUAAUACCGGAUAGGAGCUCCUGCUGCAUGGUGGGGGUUGGAAAGUUUCGGCGGUUGGGGAUGGACUCGCGGCUUAUCAGCUUGUUGGUGGGGUAGUGGCUUACCAAGGCUUUGACGGGUAGCCGGCCUGAGAGGGUGACCGGCCACAUUGGGACUGAGAUACGGCCCAGACUCCUACGGGAGGCAGCAGUGGGGAAUAUUGCACAAUGGGCGGAAGCCUGAUGCAGCAACGCCGCGUGCGGGAUGACGGCCUUCGGGUUGUAAACCGCUUUCGCCUGUGACGAAGCGUGAGUGACGGUAAUGGGUAAAGAAGCACCGGCUAACUACGUG